rnacentral:rRNA from 1 species
UACGUAGGGGGCAAGCGUUGUCCGGAAUCAUUGGGCGUAAAGCGCGUGUAGGCGGCCCGGUAAGUCCGCUGUGAAAGUCCAGGGCUCAACCCUGGGAUGCCGGUGGAUACUGUCGGGCUCGAGUCCGGAAGAGGAGUGUGGAAUUCCUGGUGUAGCGGUGAAAUGCGCAGAUAUCAUGAGGAAGACCAGUGGCAAAGGCGGGUCUCUGGACAGUUCCUGACACUGAGGCACGAAGGCCAGGGGAGCAAACGGG